UACGGAGGGGGCUAGCGUUGUUCGGAAUUACUGGGCGUAAAGCGUGCGCAGGCGGUUUGCUAAGACAGGUGUGAAAUCCCCGGGCUUAACCUGGGAACUGCGCUUGUUACUGGCAGGCUGGAGUGUGGCAGAGGGGGGUAGAAUUCCACGUGUAGCAGUGAAAUGCGUAGAGAUGUGGAGGAACACCGGUGGCGAAGGCGGCCCACUGGUCCGGUACUGACGCUGAGGUGCGAAAGCGUGGGGAGCAAACAGG
rnacentral:rRNA from 1 species